rnacentral:lncRNA from 1 species
GUCAUUUCCUCCUCUGAGACUCUGGGAUUCUGGGAGUCAGGCUCAUUCCUCCCCAGGCUCUGUGUCUGAUGCUCCAGGACCUUGUCAAUGUCACUGAACUGCUUUCUCCUCCUGGACCUUCCCUGUGCACUGGGGCCUUCUCCCCGUGGGCCAUCCCUCCACCAUGCUGUCCCCUCCUCCCCUUGGUGAGUUCCCCCAGGCCCUGCUUGGGGACAUCCAGGCUUCAUUCCCCUCCAGCUGUGCCUGUGACUCUGGAGGCUUCAGAGACACCCUGGGAUGGUGACUUCUCUUCCCCAUCACUGUGAGCCCCUUUCAGGGGUUAUCUUCUCCUAUUAGAAUGUAAGCUCCAGGAGCGCAGGGACUCCCUUUCCAUUGGUUUAAAUUGGAAUCCCCAGCACUUAGCACAGGCCUGAUACACAGGAAGGGAUUAAGAAAUGCUUGUUGCCUUGCCCUGCCCCCAAUCCAGAGCUUCCUCAAGACCAUCCAAAGGAACAAUCAUAACAGAAAGUGGGCCCAGCUUCUGCCCCCAAAUCCCCAGGGCUCCUGCUCCUCAGGCCUCCUAAGAGGCUGUUGAGGAAGAAAGCCAGGCACAUCCUCACUGUGGGCCUCACUUCCCCAUUGGUGAAAUGAGGUGGAUUGGACCAGGGGAUCUCUCAGCUCCCUUCCAGCUCUGGCCUUCAAUGAUGGAGUCCAAAGGGCCUGUUUUCAUCUGGAAUUCUAAGCAGAUUCUCCAAACCUUGAGGACCAUAGGGAGCCAAAGGCCAGAUAAGGAAUGGGAGUUCUCUCGGGGCCCGCAGAACCCCACCAUCAGAGUCGGGCAGACCACCCAGACCCCAGACCUGGGACACAUGCUGAGCCUCAGAGGACUUGGGGACAUCCUCCCAGCCUCAGAUCUUUCUGGGGCUCAGCUCCCCUUGAGAUCAUCCCCCCUGAGCCGGGCAUCCUUUUUCUUUCCAUCCUGAAAAAGCAAAGGACUGAGAUUUAUGUUGAUGGAGAAGGAACUCCCCAGGGAGGUCAUCACAGAUCUUGG